CCUACGGGGUGGCAGCAGUGAGGAAGAUUGGGCAAUGGGUGCGAGCCUGAACCAGCCAAGGAGAGUGAAGGAUGAAGGCCCGAUGGGGUGGAAACUUCUUUGAAAUGGGAAGAAAGUGCAGUAGGGAGACUGCUUUGCAUGGACCUUAUGAAAAAGGAGCGGCUAACUCCGUGCCAGCAGCCGCGGUAAUACGGAGGAUCCGAGCGUUAGCCGGAUUGAUUGGGUUUAAAGGGAGCGUAGGCGGGUUGUUAAGUCAGUGGUGCAAGUUUGAGGCUCAACCGUAAAAUUGCAGUUGAUACGGGCAUCCUUGAGUACAGUAGAGGUCGGCGGACUUCGUGGUGUAGCGGUGCAAUGCUUAGCUCUCACGCAGAACUCCGAUUGCGAAGGCAGCCUGCUGGACUGUACCUGCCGCUGAUGCUCGAAAGUGUGGGUAUCACACCGGAUUCGAUACCCUAGUAGUC
rnacentral:rRNA from 1 species